rnacentral:rRNA from 1 species
AUGGCUCAGGAUGAACGCUAGCGACAGGCCUAACACAUGCAAGGUCGAGGGGCAGCGCGGGAGAAGCUUGCUUUCCUGGCGGCGACCGGCGCACGGGUGCGUAACAGGUGUGCAAUCUGUCCAUAGUCGGGGGAUAGCCCAGCGAAAGCUGAAUUAAUACUCCAUGUGAAUCGAAGCCGCAUGACUUUGAUUUGAAACGCAAGGACUAUGGGUGAGCACGCUUCUGAUUAGGUAGUUGGUGGGGUAACGGCCCACCAAGCCGACGAUCAGUAGGGUUCUGAGAGGAAGGUCCCCCACAUUGGAACUGAGACACGGUCCAAACUCCUACGGGAGGCAGCAGUGAGGAAUAUUGGUCAAUGGGCGAGAGCCUGAACCAGCCAAGUCGCGUGAAGGAUGAAGGUUCUAUGGAUUGUAAACUUCUUUUGUCCGAGGGUAAAAAAGGUCACGUGUGACUUCUUGCAAGUAUCGGACGAAUAAGCAUCGGCUAACUCCGUGCCAGCCGCUGC